UACGAAGGGGGCUAGCGUUGCUCGGAAUGACUGGGCGUAAAGCGCGCGCAGGCGGUCUUCCAAGUCAGUGGUGAAAGCCCGGAGCUCAACUCCGGAACUGCCAUUGAAACUGUUGGACUUGAGUACGAGAGAGGUGAGUGGAAUUCCCAGUGUAGAGGUGAAAUUCGUAGAUAUUGGGAAGAACACCGGUGGCGAAGGCGGCUCACUGGCUCGUAACUGACGCUCAGGCGCGACAGCGUGGGGAUCAAACAGG
rnacentral:rRNA from 1 species